rnacentral:rRNA from 1 species
UAAGGAACUCGGCAAAAUGACUCCGUAACUUCGGGAGAAGGAGUGCUGCGCAAGCAGCCGCAGAGAAAUGGCCCAAGCAACUGUUUAGCAAAAACACAGGUCUAUGCGAAACCGAAAGGUGAGGUAUAUGGGCUGACGCCUGCCCGGUGCUGGAAGGUUAAGGGGAGAGCUUAGCGCGAGCGAAGGUUUGAACUUAAGCCCCAGUAAACGGCGGCCGUAACGAUAACGGUCCUAAGGUAGCGAAAUUCCUUGUCGGGUAAGUUCCGACCCGCACGAAAGGCGUAAUGAUUUGGGCACUGUCUCAACAACACACCCGGUGAAAUUGAAAUACCAGUGAAGAUGCUGGUUACCCGCGCCAGGACGGAAAGACCCCAUGGAGCUUUACUCCAGCCUGAUACUGGGAUUCGGUAUUGCAUGUACAGGAUAGGUGGGAGGCUAAGAACUCAUGGCGCCAGCCGUGAGGGAGCCGAUGUUGGGAUACCACCCCUGCAGUACUGGGUUUCUAACCUGCGCCCGUGACCCGGGCGGGGGACAAUGUCAGGCGGGGAGUUUGACUGGGGCGGUCGCCUCCGAAAGGGUAUCGGAGGCGCUCAAAGGUCUCCUCAGGAUGGUUGGAAACCAUCCAGAGAGUGCAAAGGCAGAAGGAGGCUUGACUGCGACACCGACGGGUGGAGCAGGUACGAAAGUAGGACUUAGUGAUCCGGUGGCAUAAAGUGGGAUUGCCAUCGCUCAACGGAUAAAAGCUACCCUGGGAUAACAGGCUUAUCACUCCCAAGAGUUCACAUCGACGGAGUGGUUUGGCACCUCGAUGUCGGCUCAUCGCAUCCUGGAGCUGGAGCAGGUUCCAAGGGUUGGGCUGUUCGCCCAUUAAAGCGGUACGCGAGCUGGGUUCAGAACGUCGUGAGACAGUUCGGUCCCUAUCCGGCGCGGGCGCAGGAUAUCUGAGAGGAGCUGUCCUUAGUACGAGAGGACCGGGAUGGACCGUCCGCUGGUGGACCGGUUGUCAUGCCAAUGGCACGGCCGGGUAGCCAAGACGGGAAGGGAUAAACGCUGAAGGCAUCUAAGCGUGAAGCCCCCCUCAAGAUGAGAUAUCCAUACUCGAAAGAGUGAGAGACCCCUUAGAGACGAUGAGGUAGAUAGGGCAGAGAUGGAAGCACAGCGAUGUGUGGAGUUGACUGUUACUAAUCGGUCGAAAGCUUGAC